UACGAAGGGGGCUAGCGUUGCUCGGAAUGACUGGGCGUAAAGGGCGCGUAGGCGGCUUGCACCGUCAGAUGUGAAAUUCCUGGGCUUAACCUGGGGGCUGCAUUUGAUACGUGUGGGCUUGAGUGCGGAAGAGGGUCGUGGAAUUCUCAGUGUAGAGGUGAAAUGCGUAGAUAUUGGGAGGAACACCAGUGGCGAAGGCGGCUCACUGGACCGGUACUGACGCUGAUGCGCGAAAGCGUGGGGAGCAAACAGG
rnacentral:rRNA from 1 species